CUGCAGCCAUCCAGGGCGGUGGUUCCAUUGAAUAUUGAGAAAGGACUUUUACAAGAAUUAAAACAGAUGCAAAAGAAAUGGGGACUCUUUAUUUGUUUGUGUCUUGGUUGAGUAAUAUUCUUUGAUGUAUUAUACUUGUUGUGUUACGGUGUUCCUAUUUGUUUUAUUGGGGUUUUUUGAGUCUUUUGUCACACAUACUUUUAUUUUGAAAUCUAAAAUAGGAAGUUUAGCGUAGCCGUUUGUGAACACGGGCGCACUGUAUACGUGAAACGACAUUCUGAUCAAUAUUACCGGAAACGAAUGUUAACUUUUGGAUGCACUCUAGGCAGUCAUAUGUUUAAGGAUUCUUCUCUUAGCUCCUGGCUGAUGAAGGGCACAAGGGGAGAAUACCUUUCAAUGUCCUGACAUUUCAGGAGAGCUGCGACAGAAAGAGCCUCAUUCAAGGGAACAAGUGAGGAGUUUCACAGUUGGGUCCUUAAAAACCUGGCGCACUGUAUGGCAGCAAAACGCCUCGAAAGAUGAAUGCGCAACUGAACAUCAAACUCCUUUAUAAUCAUCAACAUAAUCACCACUUGGUGAGCCACAGCCAGUAAUGAUGCAGCAGUCUCAGCAGGCAGGUACAAGCCGGAUGAGAAGAUUAACGCUGCGUCUCUAUUGACCACCACAUUAUAUAGCUUUUUUCUGUGCCGGCAGACGACUAUGGCAGCGAGCGAUGAUUAGGGAGGAAUACUGACGAGAUGGUUGACAUAGCUUCAGAGGAAAAUUAUGGACGAUAUGAAAUAGACCAAACCAACAUGGAACACAUUUCUGAAAGUAUUUUUUAAAUACAACCCCUCCUUGUUAAAGAUCUGUACUGUCACAUUGGGCGUUGAUGGUAAAAAUGAAAUGUUAUAUAUACAGCCGCGGAAAAAAUAAGUGUAACGCCCAGCCAGCAGAGAGAGACGUCAUAGACAACGCUUAUGUUUCUACUGCUGAGAGGCAGGCCAUCGUAGUCUGGGAUGUCCGCACAAAUCUCAAGUCAACCCCAGGGUAAAUAUUGAACAUUUUUCAUUGCUCAGCAACAAAUCAUUCACUGUACCCAUGUGUGUAAAAACUGAUAUUCUGUCUCUUGACUUAACAGCGAUGAUUGACUCUGGUGCCGCUUUGAAUUUAAUUAGUAAAGACAUUGUCACUAAUAGGGAUGUAACGAUUCACCGUGAGCCGGUUGAAAAUCGGUUAUAAUGAGCGACGAUUCAAAUCGGUUGAGGCUUGAACUGAAUCGCAAUACAUUUUUUGAACAGCAGGGGCCGCUAUUUUCACUGCAAACCUAAACGUGGAUGCUGAUAUUUCUUAAAUGCAAAAAAAAUCCAAGAAAAGCACAGACAGUAUUAGUUUGUUUAUAUUAAAGAGACUUUUUCUGUUAUUAAUUUGUUAUAAAAUUGCAGUUUAGUUUUGUUAUUUGAAAUAAAACAUUAUUUUAUCAUACAAAGAAACGUGAAGCAUUUAAGAAAUAACGCAAGGGACGUUGUUCAUUUCUAAUUUGUUUCAACUCAUUUUUUCAAAAUAAAUCGUGAGUAAAUCAUGAAUAAAUCGCAUCGUGAGAUCAGAAUCGUGAAUCGCAUCGCAUCGUGAGCUGAGUGAAUCGUUACAUCCCUAGUCACUAAAUAUAACAUUCCUACUCAACCAUGCGACCCUCCAAUUAAGAUUAAAACCAUUGAUGACACCCCUAUUGGGGAAGGCAAUAUGAUUCCAUUCACAAACACCAUACAUCAGAACCUAUCCUUCCUCCAUCUGUCAUCUUAGCUCUGAUAUCCUAGGACAUUAUGGAGGAGUUACAACGUGAACAGCAGAAUGAACCUAUCCCUGCCCAAUGCCCCCCCAACAAACACAAUGUGCCUCAAUGUUUACGACAACGUAUCAUGCAGUGGACCCACACAUCUCUCAGUGCCGGUCACCCUGGAAUUUCCCAUACCAUCAAGCUAGUCCAAAAUUCCUUUUGGUGGUCAGCAAUGACAAAAGAGAUUACAACCUACGUGAAGUCAUGCCAAGUCUGUGCCCAGUCUAAAACCCCUAAGGAACUACCUUCAGGCCUUCUACAACAUUUACCCAUUCCUCAACGCCCAUGGUCUCAUCUGUCCAUAGACUUUGUCACCGAUCUUCCCCCAUCAGAGAACUUUACUACUAUUCUAGUAAUCAUGCUUCUAAAAGUCCUGCCGCCUUGUACCAUUAAAAAGAUUACCCACCGCCAUGGAAACAGCUCAAGCUUUAUUCCAUAAUGUAUUCAGAGUUUAUGGUCUUCCAGAAGACAUCGUCAGCGAUUGGGGAACUCAAUUUACUUCUCAAGUCUGGAGAGCUUUUUGCAAACAGCUCAAUAUCAUUAUGAGCCUUACUUCAGGAUAUCACCCUCAAGCCAAUGGCCAAGUAGAACGUCUGAAUCAGGAGAUUGGCAGAUAUCUAAGAACUUAUUGCAGUUGAGAGCAACAUAGAUGGUCAGAGUUUCUCCCGUGGGCUGAGUACCCACUCUUCAACUGGCAUCACCCCCUUCCAAUGUGUCCUAGGAUUUCAACCUCCCUUAUUCCCGUGGUCUGGCGAACCCUCUUCAGUACCAUCUGUGGAUGAUUGGAUUCUUCGUAGUGAGAGGGUGUGGGACAGUGCGCACGUCCGUCUGCAGCGAGCCGUAAGGAGACAAGAACUUCAGGCCAACAAGCGGCAUCACCCACAUCCUCCCUAUCAACCAGGACAACGGGUCUGGCUCUCGACGAGGGACAUCAAACUUCGACUACCCAGCAAGAAGCUUAGUCCAAGGUAUGUUGGUCCAUUUAAAAUUCUUGAGAGAGUUAAUGAGGUCACAUACAAAUUGGCGCUUCCUACUAAUUACCGUAUUUCUCCCUCCUUCCAUGUCUCCCUCUUGAAACCGGUCCACCUGGAUGCUGACCCCUGCCAUGAAGCCCCAGAACCACCACCACCAUUAGAUAGAGACGGGGCCCCCGCCUAUCAGGUGAAAGAGUUGCUGGACUCGAGACGAUGAGGGGGUCAGAUCCAAUAUUUGGUGGACUGGGAGGGUUAUGGACCCGAGGAGAGAUCAUGGGUGAACACCCGCGAUAUUCUGGACCCUUCCCUUAUCGAGGACUUUCAUCGAUCCAGACCCGAUUGCCCAGCACCACGACCACGAGGACGUCCACGUCGAGCUCCAGGAGUCGCUCAUAGGGAGGGGGAUUCUGUAACGCCCAGCCAGCAGCGGGAGCUGUCACCUGAGUACUGACUCCGUUCCACCCCUCUGCUGCCUCUGCAUUCACUUCCUGUUUGGUGACUAUUUAGUCUGAGACCACAUGGGAUCUCAUUGCAAAGUAUUGCCAGUGUAUCUGCCUUACCAAGCGUAUCCCUGUAUUCUCUGCCUGUUUUGUCUGUAUGAUUCUGCCUGGAUAUCUAUUCUCUGAUUACCCCUUUGUUUUGGUUGCAUGGUUGGACUGAUAUUUCUGGAUUUGACUCACUGCCUGCUUAAUCACCUUUGCCUUUGGAUUAACCUCAUGUUUGUUGUACCUGUCUACUCAACUCUGUUUAUGCUACUCAUCUAAUAAACUACCGCACAUGGAUUCUAACUCUGCCUCAGCGUCAUCGUUACAAUAAGAGACUAUUCCAAAUAUUCAUUUACAUUUAAAGGGGUCAUAUUGUGCGAAUACGUGUUUUUCUGUGUCUUUGGUGUGUUAUAAGUUGCCCACAUGCAUGUAUUAGACACGUAAAAUUGCAAAAAUUAAAGUGUCGGGACAAAAGAUGCAUUCUAUCUAAAAGCGAAUGCUCACCCAGACUUGUCUGAAAUGCCUCGUGUAACCACACCCCCACAAAUCUACGUCAGUUCGUGAUAUGAUUUGACUAAGACUGCCCAAAUGUAUAUGCACUUAAAGUGGGCGUACCGUCAGUACAAUUGGUUUGGAACCUGAUGUUCCAAAUAUGGUAAGAGGCGUUACAUUUCUGUCACGCUGGCAGUUUUCGACCAAUCACUACACACUGGUUAACUGGCCAAUCAUAGCACACCUCGCUUUUCAGAGCAUUUGAGCUUUGUGAAAAAUCUGCACGUUUCAGAGAGGCGGGGCAAAGAGGAGGUACAAACAUGCACGUUAGGCCUAUGUGAAAAAGACAGCGUUUUGAACAUUAAAUCGUGUAUACACAUUGCAUUACAUCUAAAAUAAACUAUAAUAUUCAUUUUAGCCGUGUCAUAUGGCCCCUUUAAUCAGAAUUUCUAGAUGUAUUGUGGCCAUUCCAGUUCAGUGUCUGUUGAAUUUCAACAAAAUCAAACCGCAGGAGUGACAUAAUCGAGGUGAUAAAUCGAGAUUAUCACCACUGAUCUAUAUAAAUGACUGGAUUGCUCAUGACGUCAUUACACUGAAGCUACCCCACCGCCAUGUUGGUUCUUUUAAAUUAAUAGGAAGUUAUGACAUAUUAUUGAUAAAACAGUAACUUACCAGCCCCUGUUUUUAUAUCUAGAGUCUUACAGAACAUUCUUAAAAAGCAAAUGUCUUAAGCAUGUAAAUGGUUAAUUAUUUUAAGUCGGGAAUUUUCUCAUCUUGUUAGAUAUAGAGUGAGUUACAUUCAUUUUCAUUACAGUAGCAUACAUAUCAGAUCAGCAGACUAACGAGACACCUCAACAUAUGGCAAAUGUGCUUAUUCUGAAAUCUAAAUACAGAUAAAUACAGGCUGUAUAUGUUCUUUAAUUCAUGAAGCUUUAUUUCUAAACAUUUACACAUGUGCCAUUACAACACUGUGCCAUACACACUCACCUAGAUACAUUGAUUUCUACGUCGCUAUUCUGCCCAAAAUAAACAUAAACAUUGGAAAAAACAUCAGAAGUAAUGAUUUAAAAACUAGGGAUGUAACGAUUCACUCAGCUCACGAUGCGAUGCGAGUCACGAUUCUGAUCUCACGAUGCGAUUUAUUCACGAUUUACUCACGAUUUAUUUUUACAAAAUGAGUUGAAACAAAUUAGAAAUGAACAACUUCCCUUGCAUUAUUUCUUAAAUGCUUCACGUUUCUUUGUAUAAUAAAAUAAUGUUUUAUUUCAAAUAACAAAACUAAACUGCA